rnacentral:rRNA from 1 species
UGGCCAAUUGGGGGGACCCUUGAUGCAGCGAUCGCCGCUGGAGGGAGAGUUUCGAUUGUUAAACCUUCUGUUCUUGUGGGACCGAUUAUGAACGGUACCACAGGAGGAAGCAUGGGCUACUACGUGCCAGCAGCCGCCGGUUAUUACGUAGAUGGCCAGCGUUGUUCCGGGAAUUACUGGGUGUAAAGGGGAGUUGUAGGNGGGAUCAUAAGUUGNGUGUGAAAUGCAGGGGCUCAACCNNGANCUGCGCGCAAAACUGUGGUUCUNNAGUGAAGUAGAGGCAGGCGGANUUUCCCGGUGUAGCGGUGGANUGCGUAGAUAUCGGGAGGAACACCAGUGGCGNNGCGGCCUGUUGGGCUUUUACUGACGCUGAGGCUCGAAAGCAUGGGGAGCAAACAGGAUUAGAUACCCUGGUAGUCCAUGCCGUAAACGAUGAUUACUAGGUGUGGGGGGAUAACCCCCUCCGUGCCGGAGUUAACACAAUAAGUAAUCCACCUGGGGAGUACGACCGCAAGGUUGAAACUCAAAGGAAUUGACGGGGGCCCGCACAAGCAGUGGAGUAUGUGGUUUAAUUCGAAGCAACGCGAAAAACCUUACCAGGUCUUGACAUCUAUCGCUAUCCCAAGAGAUUGGGAGUUCCCUUCGGGGACGGUAAGACAGGUGGUGCAUGGUUGUCGUCAGCUCGUGUCGUGAGAUGUUGGGUUAAGUCCCGCAACGAGCGCAACCCUUACUGUUAGUUGCUACGCAAGAGCACUCUAACGGGACUGCCGUUGACAAAACGGAGGAAGGUGGGGAUGACGUCAAAUCAUCAUGCCCUUUAUGACCUGGGCUACACACGUACUACAAUGGCCGCUAACAAUGAGCAGCAAAACCGCGAGGUGGAGCGAAUCUAUAAAAGCGGUCUCAGUUCGGAUUGCAGGCUGCAACUCGCCUGCAUGAAGUCGGAAUUGCUAGUAAUCGCGGAUCAGCAUGCCGCGGUGAAUACGUUCCCGGGCCUUGUACACACCGCCCGUCACACCAUGAGAGCCGGUAACACCCGAAGUCAGUAGUCUAACCGCAAGGGGGACGCUGCCGAAGGUGGGGCUGGUGAUUGGGGUG